rnacentral:snoRNA from 1 species
CUCCCAAAGUACUGGGAAUAUAGGAGUGAGCCACCAUGCCCUACUAAACACUUCUUUCUUAGCAAACUAGAAAGUCGGCGUAUGUGUGACAAAUACAA